rnacentral:rRNA from 1 species
UACGGAGGGUGCAAGCGUUGCUCGGAAUCACUGGGCGUAAAGCGACCGCAGGCGGCCUGACAAGUCGGAUGUGAAAGCCCCUGGGCUCAACUCAGGAAUUGCAUUCGAAACUGGCAGGCUCGAGUACGGGAGAGGGGGGUGGAAUUCCUGGUGUGAGGGGUGAAAUUCGUUGAUAUCAGGAGGAACACCGGCGGCGCGAAGGCGGGAUCGUCUGGGCCGAUGACUGA